rnacentral:rRNA from 1 species
ACAGCAGUAGCCGCGGUAAUACGGAGGGGGCUAGCGUUGUUCGGAAUUACUGGACGUAAAGCGCACGUAGGCGGCUUGGUAAGUUAGAGGUGAAAGCCUGGAGCUCAACUCCAGAAUUGCCUUUAAGACUGCCGAGCUAGCAGGUGAGAGAGGUAAGUGGAAUUCCGAGUGUAGAGGUGAAAUUCGUAGAUAUUCGGAAGAACACCAGUGGCGAAGGCGGCUUACUGGCUCAUACUGGACGCUGAGGUGCGAAAGCGUGGGGAGCAAACAGGAUUAGAUACCCCUGUAGUCCCUGUCUCUUAUAC